GCCUAAUACAUGCAAGUCGAGCGAAUGGAUUAAGAGCUUGCUCUUAUGAAGUUAGCGGCGGACGGGUGAGUAACACGUGGGUAACCUGCCCAUAAGACUGGGAUAACUCCGGGAAACCGGGGCUAAUACCGGAUAACAUUUUGAACCGCAUGGUUCGAAAUUGAAAGGCGGCUUCGGCUGUCACUUAUGGAUGGACCCGCGUCGCAUUAGCUAGUUGGUGAGGUAACGGCUCACCAAGGCAACGAUGCGUAGCCGACCUGAGAGGGUGAUCGGCCACACUGGGACUGAGACACGGCCCAGACUCCUACGGGAGGCAGCAGUAGGGAAUCUUCCGCAAUGGACGAAAGUCUGACGGAGCAACGCCGCGUGAGUGAUGAAGGCUUUCGGGUCGUAAAACUCUGUUGUUAGGGAAGAACAAGUGCUAGUUGAAUAAGCUGGCACCUUGACGGUACCUAACCAGAAAGCCACGGCUAACUACGUGCCAGCAGCCGCGGUAAUACGUAGGUGGCAAGCGUUAUCCGGAAUUAUUGGGCGUAAAGCGCGCGCAGGUGGUUUCUUAAGUCUGAUGUGAAAGCCCACGGCUCAACCGUGGAGGGUCAUUGGAAACUGGGAGACUUGAGUGCAGAAGAGGAAAGUGGAAUUCCAUGUGUAGCGGUGAAAUGCGUAGAGAUAUGGAGGAACACCAGUGGCGAGGGCGACUUUCUGGUCUGUAACUGACACUGAGGCGCGAAAGCGUGGGGGAGCAA
rnacentral:rRNA from 1 species